UAGGGAAUCUUCCGCAAUGGGCGAAAGCUUGACGGAGCAACGCCGCGUGAGUGAUGAAGGUCUUCGGAUCGUAAAACUCUGUUAUUAGGGAAGAACAAAUGUGUAAGUAACUAUGCACGUCUUGACGGUACCUAAUCAGAAAGCCACGGCUAACUACGUGCCAGCAGCCGCGGUAAUACGUAGGUGGCAAGCGUUAUCCGGAAUUAUUGGGCGUAAAGCGCGCGUAGGCGGUUUUUUAAGUCUGAUGUGAAAGCCCCCGGCUCAACCGGGGAGGGUCAUUUGAAACUGGUUGACUUGAGUGCAGAAGAGGAGAGUGGAAUUCCAUGUGUAGCGGUGAAAUGCGUAGAUAUAUGGAGGAACACCAGUGGCGAAGGCGACUCUCUGGUCUGUAACUGACGCUGAGGCUCGAAAGCGUGGGGAGCGAACAGG
rnacentral:rRNA from 1 species